GGAGAGGUGGCUGAGUGGUCGAAAGCGGCGGAUUGCUAAUCCGUUGUACGGUUUAGGCCGUACCGAGGGUUCGAAUCCCUCCCUCUCCG
rfam:Desertifilum sp. IPPAS B-1220 NODE_5_length_178902_cov_33.8927, whole genome shotgun sequence.